rnacentral:rRNA from 1 species
GAUGAACGCUGGCGGCGUGCCUAAUACAUGCAAGUCGAACGAACGGACGAGAAGCUUGCUUCUCUGAUGUUAGCGGCGGACGGGUGAGUAACACGUGGAUAACCUACCUAUAAGACUGGGAUAAAUUAGGGAAACCGGUGCUAAAAACGGCUAAUCUUUUGAACCGCAUAGUUCAAAAGUGAAAGACGGUCUUGCUUUCACUUAUCGAUGAAUCCGCGCUGCAUUAGCUAGUUGGUAAGGUAACGGCUUACCAAGGCAACGAUGCAUAGCCGACCUGAGAGGGUGAUCGGCCACACUGGAACUGAGACACGGUCCAGACUCCUACGGGAGGCAGCAGUAGGGAAUCUUCCGCAAUGGGCGAAAGCCUGACGGAGCAACGCCGCGUGAGUGAUGAAGGUCUUCGGAUCGUAAAACUCUGUUAUCAGGGAAGAACAUAUGUGUAAGUAACUGUGCACAUCUUGACGGUACCCAAUCAGAAAGCCACGGCUAACUACGUG